rnacentral:rRNA from 1 species
UACAGAGGGGGCAAGCGUUGUUCGGAAUUACUGGGCGUAUAGGGCGCGUAGGCGGCCUGCUAAGUCGAACGUGAAAUCCCUGGGCUCAACCCAGGAACUGCGUCCGAUACUGGUUGGCUUGAAUCCGGGAGAGGGAUGCGGAAUUCCAGGUGUAGCGGUGAAAUGCGUAGAUAUCUGGAGGAACACCGGUGGCGAAGGCGGCAUCCUGGACCGGCAUUGACGCUGAGGCGCGAAAGCCAGGGGAGCAAACGGG